rnacentral:snRNA from 10 species
AGCUUUGCCCAGUGGCAGUAUCAUAGCCAAUGAGGUUUAUCCGAGGUGCGAUUAUUGCUAAUUGAAAACUUAAAGAAUUCCUGGUCAUGUCACUUCCCCCUUUAUGGUGCUGAGUUUAAAAUCAUCCAAAGCUUAAGUAAUUAAUUAGGUUAUUCAUAGACUAAGAGAGGGAUUAGGAAGUUGAGGAUUAUAUGUAGUUAU